UGUUUCCUGCCUGUUCCUGUCCUGUGUUGCUCAUGUUUAUCGUGUCCCCCAGGGCUUGUUUCUUUUUCUUGUUUUGUGUUUUUUCGGUUACGUGGUCUGGUCCCCCUUUUUUUGGAAUCAGCUUUAUUAAAUAAAGCUUGCUUUUGGUUUGAGCUUUGAUACCCGCCUCCCUGUCUCUGUACUGCGUUUGGGUCCCAACUACCAAACCCUGAACAUUUUGAGUCAUAAUGGUUGAGGCAACACGGACGAAAAGACUUGAAAGUGCUCAGAGGACUGGAUAUCUGAUGACAACGAUUCCUCGGAGGAAUCGGCACUGCAGAUCAUUUACGGGUGCAAGAGGCGGGCUGCCGCUUUCAAGAGCCUCCUCCUCUGACUGACGAGCAUCCACUGCAGCCACUCAGGUCCUGACUCUGACACCACUGGACCUGCAGGCUAAGAAGUACAGUACCUGAGUACAUAUGCUCAAGUAACAUGGAAUUUUGUCUAUGUGCCGAGUUCAGCAGAGUUGUCACCAAAGACCUGCUGAAAUCUGUCCUGGAUGGAGUAGAUGACAUGGUUCCAACUCUGGUAGAGGCUUUUAAACGUGCUGCAGCAUCUGGAAGAAGGUUGGCCCUGAAUGGUGUUCUGCAGUGUCUUAAGAAAGAGGACACAAACCAGAACAGAAGAACAGCGGCCCUACUUGGUCUUUCAACAUUUCUUUCAGAGGAUUCCUCUACCAUAAUCAGGAUGUGUGAUGUUCUUGGAGAAACCCUCAAUGUGAUCAUGAAAGGAAUGCACGUUGGACUGUCGAUUGGACACGAAGGCUCUCUGCUUUGACUCUUUUCCUCUGGAAGUGUUCAAUGUGGCUGUGGUGGUAGAGGAAAAAACCUUUCUACAUGAUUUCCGAGAUGUGCCCACAGGCUUUGCCAUGUUAAUUGGGGCAAUCUACUGCCUCAACCUCGAGUACCCCCGCAAUCUGAGAAACUCUUUUGAUUCCUUCAAAAGGUCAUCAUGAGCAUCAAACCGGACCAGUGCUAAGUAAGGAUCAAUGGACUGAGAAAUAAACUGCUGAGAUAUCGGCUUUAAACAAA